CCUUAUGUUAAUUGGAAGGCCAAUCUAUAUUUCCUAUCGGCCCAUUUGGUGACGUGCUCUCCUCGUUCGUGUAUAGUCACAUUCAUAUCAAUCUCUAUGUCUUGUUCAUCAGUUAAUCGGAAUCGUGUUUCGAAAAUGGAAGACAAAUCUUUAGUACAGGCAAAAUUUUAAUUUUUUCCCAUUUUGCCACAGUUUUCGAACCGAGCAAAACCUAAAAUUGGAAUUAAUUAGGAUUGAAAGUCAAAACAAGUAAAACCCACAAAUUGGAAUUCCACAAAUUGGAAAAGAUCGAAAGUAUAGAUAUAAUAGAGAUGUAUAGAUACAGAGGUGCCGAUAUAGGGGGGGAGAGAGAGAGAGAGAGAGAGAGAGAGAGAGAGAGAAAUGUUGACAUGUUUGUAGAGAGAGAGAGACAGAAGAUGUAGG
rnacentral:lncRNA from 1 species